UUCCCUUCCUCUUUAAGGCUGAAUAAUAUUCUAUUGUUUGUAUGUAACACAUUUUGCUUAUCCGUUCAUCCAUCAGUAGACAUUUGGGUUGCUUCUGCAUUUUAACUAUUGCGAAUAAUACUACAAUAAAAAUGGCUGUACAAAUACUUCGAGACCCCAUUUUCAAUUAUUUUACACAUAUACCCAGAAGUGAAAUUGCUGGAUCAUAUGGUAAUUCUGAGUCUAAUUUUUUGAGGAGCUACCAUACUGGAUGCUAAAGAGUUUCAACUUGAAAUUUAGAACAGUCAGAAGCCUUUGGUAGAUUUUAAAUAGGGAAUGGAGUUGAGUUAGAGAAGAUGAGUGGAAAUAGAGCUAGUUACACCCUCAGAUUUUAGAAUACCUCUGCGUUAGAUUGCAAGCUAUAUGCAAAAAGGUAUCUUGUCUUUUUUUAAAUUCCCCCAAAUCCUUUUUCCUUUUCUCUAAACAAUUUUCAGUACCAAGUGGGCCUCUGUUUGUGGAGGCUAAAGUGGACCUAAGUAAUACUGAGCAGUACUUAACAUCUCAGCAGCCUUCUUUACCCAUCUGAAAUGUAGCUAUGUAUUUCCCCAGAAGCAGAGAACACUUUGCUAGCUAUUCACAGAGCUUUGACAUCCUUGAAUGGAAGCAGUACAGCCUGGAUGAAUACAUAUAUGGCCAUAAUUAUCUCCUUUUUGGACUACAGAACCCAUUUUGGCUAUUUUUCCCUCCUUUUUUUUUAUUUCUCCUCCUCUCUCAAUCUUACAGGGCUCACUCUUUCAUUAUUAGGAACCGGCUCUGACUGUGCCAGACAGCUGUAAAUGGAAUGCCAUCAUAUUUGAGGGUAGUUCAUCAUUUUCAUAAUUUUGUCAAGUGUGCAGCCAUUUUCCGCUGCAAGAAAGAGGAAGAAACAGUGUUUAGUCCAGUAUCACUCCCACAGGCAUAAAUGCUCUCUUUCUCUCUUUUGUUGUUACUUCUUCCGAUUUAGUGAUUUGUGAAGUGAAUGAGGGAGAGGCCCUCUUUUUCCUAUUAUAACCACUGAUUUUUCCCCCAUGGUGACUUCAUUUUGGGUUGAAUUUUCUGAGGAAGAAGAAUGCCUUUUUAGUGUAGGUUGGACUUGUGCUGGUGGAGUGGGAGCAGGAGAGAGCUGGGGUUGGGAGUAUGGACUCUGCAGACUUCAUUCCCCUCCUGGCUUUGCCUGUCAUUAGCUGUGUAACCUCGAGCCAAUUACUUACCUUCUCAGUGCUUCUCUUUCCUCAUUUGUAAAGUGGUAGUGAUAGUGGUACCUGCCUGCCUCAAAGGGUUCUCCCGUUAGGAGACACUGUGUAGAAGUACCGACCAUAAGCACUCAAUUAAUUAUUCCAAGCUUCCUGUCUGGCUUCUCACUAGAUAACCAUUCCCAGGAAGAUGUUAAAUGUGGUUGGUGAGCCAGGCCUCAGUCAGUACACAGAACGAUGUAUCUGACACCCUCAUUCUGGUGCUACCAUUGGGGCAGUCCAGCAAGCCGUGUUCACGGCCCUGACGGGUGUUCUCGACAGAGGCCUCCUCAGCGCUGUUUGGAGCAGUCCUGCCUCACCGAGUCCAGGUAGUGUCCAGGCAACACAGAGCCUGACUUGGUAGAAAACAUGCAGUGAGUGGCAGUGAGGAUUCCCCCCGCCAUCCUCUGUUAUAUACUAAGGAUGGAUUUGAGGCUGGUGAAAAGAACCAAAUUAACAGCCCUGGAAACUAAACUUGUCUGGUUAGCCACAAAAAAGUGUUGUUCCAGCAGCUUCAUUUCCAGCUAAUCCUCUUCAGCCCUAGAGCUUGGAGCUUCCCUGAGAGGGUAGUAGAGAGAAGGGUGAUAUUGACUGCAGCUUAGGUACCCACCCACUUACCUAUAAUACUUUCAGAAUUGGUCAUCUCAGGCCUACCCCAGCACCUGCCUGUGUUCUGCAGAAGAUGCAUUCCAAGGUCGUGAUCCAGCCCCUAGUCCUAAGUUCAUGCGGGAACUGCCUGAAACAUGGGCAUCCAAAGGAAGCCUAUAGAAUUGGCAGUUCUUUCAAAAGACACCACAGCAGAGUAGUCCAUGUGGACAUAGGGAUCUGAAAGGUAUGUGUCAAAGACUCCUUCACUGCAGUGUGAAGUGUAUAAGAAACUUCUCUGUGUAGAUUUUAAGUCAAGACUCAACAUGACAUUCUGAGCCGUGUGAGGAGGAACUCAGACAGCUCAAUUUAGCAAAGCAGCAGGUUCUCUGUGUUUUAUAGACCUUGCUAAUGAACGAGUCCCAUGGCCUCUGCUGGACCGGCUCCCCAGUGCUCUGCCAGCCUGUUUCCCACGCAUCUGUAAAUUCAUCUAGCUAUAAUGGAUGGCUGGUGCCUGCGGAGGCUGAGGUCUAGGCGUUUCUGUCCGGGAUACAUAGAGAUCUCAAGCCAUUAAUAAUUCAUUCUGGAGUAAUGAACAUAGCUGUACCAAGUUGUGAGCAGUAAUAAUCAAGUGACGGAUCAAUUUAUUACUGCAGUGUGCUGAAAGAUAAUGGUCAUUAAUAAUGAAAGGUGUAACUCCUCCCACCCAAACAAAGUUUCCUAAGACUUAGAUCAAUGUGUCUUUUAAGUUCUAAAAUAACAUGGAUCAUUAAAAGGGAAAUGAAUUAUGCUGGGUAACCUCAAGCUUAUUUAUAUUCAGAGUUGCUAAUCCAGAAUUACUAUACCUUUUUUCCAAAUGCCUUUGGGCACUGGGGCCUGCAAAUCAGAGUAAUUAUUUCUCAUUAAUUAAGUCUAAGAAAUGGAACAUAGCUCAAGACUUUGAAAAGGGAAGUUGGAUAGUUGAGAUACAUUCCCCCAAAAUCAUUUGAAGUUUAAUGAGUAAGCAGCUGGGUUGGGAAUAAUUGUUUUAGGCCUACUGAGAAACUCCCCUCAUCUUUUAAUGCCUCAGUGAAAGCUCAUUGUGCACCUCCUGUGCCAAGCAGUGUGCUCAGCACUGGUGCUACCAAAUAAAAUACCAUACUUCUUCUUCUCAGGCCUUGGUAGGGAUGACAACACUGUGUAAUAAAUGCAGAAGCAGGCCAACACUUCUGCCUUCACUGGGUAUAGAGGAUUGGAGAAAGGUGAGAGGAAAGUACAGAAAGGAAUGGGCCAUUUGAGCUGAGCCUUGCUUAUUAACAGUUUGCCAAGCAAAGAAAACAGCAAAAGAACAUACCAGGCAGAGUAAUGAUAUGGACAAAGGCAGAGAGGUGUGGAAGUGGAAUGAGAGUGAAAAGUGAAUUAGUAUGAUGAUUACCACAUAUCCCAUGCAUUAUCACAUUUAAUCUGUACAACAUUCACAUGAAGUAGGUAUGUUAUUCACCCAACCUCUUCUUUUUUUUUUAAAAUGAGGAACCCAAAGCUUAGAAAUAUUGAGUCACUCUGCCCAGGGACCCAGAGCUGGGAGGUGGCACAGGAAGGCCUAGUGGUGAUUUGAGGAAAGGUAUGCUGUUUUAUAAGAGUUCAGUCUUUGUGUUAAAAAUAGUCGGGCAGGCCAGGCACAGUGGCUCACGCCUAUAAUUCCAGCACUUUGGGAGGCCAAGCUGGGAGAAUCACUUGAGACCGGGAGUUCAAGACCAGCCUAGGCAACAUAGCAAGACUCUGUCUCUACAGAAAAAUUUAAAAACUAGCCAGGUGUGGUGGCACAUGCCUGUAGUCCUAGCUACUCAGGAGGCUGAGGCAGGAAGAUCUCUUGAGCCCAGGAGUGUGAGGGUGCAGUGAACUAUGAUCAUGCCACUGCACUCCAGCCUGGAUGACAGAGAAAGGCCUUGAUCACACACCAGGGACUGUUGUGGGGUGGGGGGAGGGGGGAGGGAUAGCAUUAGGAGAUAUACCUAAUGCUAAAUGACGAGUUAAUGGGUGCAGCAUACCAACAUGGCACAUGUUUACAUAUGUAACAAACCUGCACGUUGUGCACAUGUACCCUAAAACUUAAAGUAUAAUAAUAAAAAAAAGAAAGAAAGAAGGAAAGAAAGAAGAAAGAAAAACAGUGGGGCCCACUAGAGGUUUACAGUCGUCAUUAUCAGAACAAUUAAACAAUAAAAGCACUGCUAAACAUUCACAUAUGCCAUGCCAUUGUGUUCUCACCAGGGGAGGUGUGAGAGCUGAGUUUUAGGUGGAACUGCUGAUAGCAGGGAGGAUAAAGCUGAAGUUAGAGGUUCUUGGGUCAGGAACCCUAGUUAGGAGGCUGUUACUUUAGUCAGAUGUAGUGUGGAGAAGCCUGACGGGGAAAAAUGAUCAUCAUCCAAACCAUGUGUUUUUAUAUUGGUCUACAAUUUGAAGGUACUUUCGUAAAAAAAUAGCUUGUUGAUUCACUUGCACAUGGGACUUUUGUGACAAGAGGGUAAGUUUAAUGAUUUAGCUCUUUUGGGAGGGGAAGUAUAAGGACAUAGAAUUUCCUUGCCACACAGAGGAGCUGAUGUUGAAAGUAGUGUUUUUAAAAGCAGCUUGUAAAUAUGCAUACUUGCUGAUUGACUGAGGCACAGAACCAAAGUCUCUCCCCCUUGCCAGGUCAGAAUUUGACCAUCUGCGUUAAUUUUGUCAGACUGGAAAUGUGGUGUGAUUUUGGGUAGAAUGGAAAACAUAAGUAAAACCAGGAGACUCGGCAAGAACUAAGAAAAUGUUUAUAAAAUAUUCUUUACGUGGACCAGAAACAGGCCACUCUCCCUGCUGCAGGUGUUGCUUAGCAAUCAAAAAGCAAAUCCUCUUUCUAACUGGGCUGUGCCACAGUUAAAGUUACAUAAACCUGACCAUGCUCUGCCCACCUUUAGAGGAGAAAGUUAAACUCUUAGCCCUAAAAAAAUUAUAGAAAAGUACACAUCUGCUAAUAAAAUUGGUUGAUACAGUAUUUCAAUAAAGGCUCAGUUUAAAAACCAGCACUUAAGGCAGUAUAAUCUCUUUAAUUCCUAAAAAAAAAAAAAAAAAAAAGUGUACCAGAGAAACAGUGAGAAACACUGCAGGCAUUUAUAGAAUUGUGUGAAAAAAUACUCCAUAUAAAUAGCACUAAAUGCUAGGGAGGUAGGUCUGUGCAAACUGCCUGUCUCUACCAAAUUUGUCUCUAGUUUCAAGUUAGUAAUGAAUAGCUUCCUUCUUGUAACAAGUGAUUUAGAGAAGCUCUUGAUAUUUUCUCAACAAAACUGAAUGGCAUUAACUUUUAACUUAUUUGUUGCCAAGUAGAUGAUUUAUAUGUUUUUAUACACGGGGCCAGCAAUUGAACAAUUGAGUUUUAUAGCUACGUCCUGGUGGCCUGAGUAUGGAGUUCAGAUACAUCUUUUGAGCAGUUGUUUAUUCAAAAAUAUGCCUACGUCUUUAGCAAAUUACUCACAGGGUCAGCGACUGUUGACCCUGUGUGUUUGUUAGACUUUGAUUAUAAGUGACAAUAUAAACACAGCCACAUAGAUGAAUAUACGCUAGUGCAUUUUUAUUUCUGUUUAUGCCACGUUUCACUUAAUAUGAGCCACAUGUUUAACCUGAUCGGCCUUUAAUACUUUAAAUCUAAAGUGCUGAAUUUCCUUACUUGGUUUUAAAUGUCCAGAUCUGCCCAUUUUAAAAAUUAUGUCUAUUUAGUGCUUAUGUUUGCAGAUAUAUUAAAGCCAUCAAGAGGUUUUACAUUUGCCAUGGAGAAAAAUGCUAAUGAUUGCAGUUUAAGCAGAUGCCAAGUACAUAAAUUGUAAUUAAGAGGGAUUAGCAGUUACCUGGACUUGCAAAACAGGGAUUCAGAUGUUCAAAGGUUAGUAAUUUGGCAGAUGGUUGCUUUGGUUGGUUGGUUGUU